UACGAGGGGGGCAAGCGUUGUUCGGAAUUAUUGGGCGUAAAGGGCGCGUAGGCGGUCUGACAAGUCUUGUGUGAAAUCUCUGGGCUCAACCCAGAGUCUGCACAGGAAACUGUCGGGCUAGAGUAUGGGAGAGGUGCGUGGAAUUUCCGGUGUAGCGGUGAAAUGCGUAGAUAUCGGAAGGAACACCUGUGGCGAAAGCGGCUCACUGGACCAUUACUGACGCUGAUGCACGAAAGCUAGGGGAGCAAACAGG
rnacentral:rRNA from 1 species